UACAGAGGGUGCAAGCGUUAAUCGGAAUUACUGGGCGUAAAGCGUGCGUAGACGGUUACAUAAGUCGGGUGUGAAAGCCCCGGGCUCAACCUGGGAAUUGCAUUCGAGACUGCGUAGCUAGGGUGCGGAAGAGGGAAGCGGAAUUUCCGGUGUAGCGGUGAAAUGCGUAGAUAUCGGAAGGAACACCAGUGGCGAAAGCGGGUCUCUGGACAGUUCCUGACGCUGAGGCACGAAGGUCAGGGGAGCAAACGGG
rnacentral:rRNA from 1 species